rnacentral:rRNA from 1 species
ACGACAUAGUUGGCAGACGGGUGAGUAACGCGUGGGAACGUACCUUUCGCUACGGAAUAGCUCUGGGAAACUGGUGGUAAUACCGUAUACGCCCUUCGGGGGAAAGAUUUAUCGGCGAAAGAUCGGCCCGCGUUAGAUUAGGUAGUUGGUGGGGUAAUGGCCUACCAAGCCUACGAUCUAUAGCUGGUCUGAGAGGAUGAUCAGCCACACUGGGACUGAGACACGGCCCAGACUCCUACGGGAGGCAGCAGUGGGGAAUCUUGCACAAUGGGCGAAAGCCUGAUGCAGCCAUGCCGCGUGAAUGAUGAAGGCCUUAGGGUUGUAAAAUUCUUUCGCCAGGGAUGAUAAUGACAGUACCUGGUAAAGAAGCCCCGGCUAACUUCGUGCCAGCAGCCGCGGUAAUACGAAGGGGGCUAGCGUUGUUCGGAAUUACUGGGCGUAAAGCGCACGUAGGCGGACUUUUAAGUCAGGUGUGAAAUCCCGGGGCUCAACCUCGGAACUGCAUUUGAAACUGGAAGUCUGGAGUUCAGGAGAGGUUAGCGGAAUACCGAGUGUAGAGGUGAAAUUCGUAGAUAUUCGGUGGAACACCAGUGGCGAAGGCGGCUAACUGG